rnacentral:rRNA from 1 species
UACGUAGGUGGCGAGCGUUAUCCGGAAUGAUUGGGCGUAAAGGGUGCGUAGGCGGCCUGCUAAGUCUGGAGUGAAAGGUACCGGCUCAACCGGUACAGGCUCUGGAAACUGGCGGGCUAGAGAGCAGGAGAGGGCGGUGGAACUCCAUGUGUAGCGGUAAAAUGCGUAGAUAUAUGGAAGAACACCGGCGGCGAAGGCGGCCUUCUGGGCCACGACUGACGCUGAGGCGCGAAAGCUAGGGGAGCGAACAGG